UAACACGUGGGGAACCUGCCCCAUAGUCUGGGAUACCACUUGGAAACAGGUGCUAAUACCGGAUAAGAAAGCGGAUCGCAUGAUCAGCUUUUAAAAGGCGGCGUAAGCUGUUGCUAUGGGAUGGCCCCGCGGUGCAUUAGCUAGUUGGUAAGGUAAAGGCUUACCAAGGCGAUGAUGCAUAGCCUAGUUGAGAGACUGAUCGGCCACAUUGGGACUUAGACACGGCCCAAACUCCUACGGGAGGCAGCAGAC
rnacentral:rRNA from 1 species